UAGCCGUAAACGAUACUCGCUAGGUGUCGGCCACGGUGCGACCGUUGUCGGUGCCGUAGGGAAGCCGUGAAGCGAGCCACCUGGGAAGUACGGCCGCAAGGCUGAAACUUAAAGGAAUUGGCGGGGGAGCACAACAACGGGUGGAGCCUGCGGUUUAAUCGGACUCAACGCCGGGAAUCUCACCGGAUAAGACAGCUGAAUGAUAGUCGGGAUGAAGACUCUACUUGACUAGCUGAGAGGUGGUGCAUGGCGUAGUCGUGU
rnacentral:rRNA from 1 species